UACGGAGGGUGCAAGCAUUGAUCGGAAUUACUGGGCGUAAAGGGCGCGUAGGCGGCCAAGAAAGUUAGAUGUGAAAUUCCGGGGCUCAACCCCGGAGCUGCAUUUAAAACUCCAUGGCUAGAGUACAGUUAGGGAAAACGGAAUUCCACGUGUAGCGGUGAAAUGCGUAGAUAUGUGGAAGAACACCGGUGGUGAAGACGGUUUUCUGGGCUGAAACUGACGCUGAGGCGCGAAAGCUAGGGGAGCAAACAGG
rnacentral:rRNA from 1 species